rnacentral:piRNA from 1 species
AAACUGACGUUAGAAGGUGAAAGGCG